AAAUACAGUUUAAAAGGUUAAGCCAGAAGCUAAACCAGUGCUUCCUGUUUCUCAAAUGAAAGCUCUCACAACUAGACCACUACAUGAAGGAGGUUCAGUUUCACAGUCUGCUUGGGAUACAUAAGGCAUUUCAGAGAUGACUGCAUUGGUG